GCGGCGGAUCUGGAGCGGCGGCUUUGGAGCGGCGCCCGAGCAACGGAGGGAGAUGGAGUUCCCUCCUGGCGUGGCGGCUCGAUCUGCAACGCCAGCAGCUGCGGUACGCCACCCUCGCUGCUGUCGCAGGGAGACGCCGCUCUUCCCCUUCUCGGUCCGCCCUGAUGUGGUUUCCUCUCCGUGACCCGUCAUCGGAGGCACGGCCAGAAGCAUCCCCGCCGCGUGCAGCUGCUGCUCCCGGACGCCGCCGCCGCCCUCCGCAAGGAGCGACGAUAGCCUGAAGCUCUGCGGCCCGGCGUGUGCCGAGCGGCGCGCCGCGGGGGCACCGUCGCCGACUGGCCACACGACAUCGCUCUCGUCCAGCUAGAAGCAUGCGCUGUCGUGGCCCGCCUCCGACUGCUUCAGCAAGCCAAGAAACUGGAACGCGCCCAUGCCCGGCGACCUCGGCAUCUCCAUCGAUGAUGUAUCAUUGGCUUUGGCAACAUUGAUCCUUCUUCACGUAUGCUGGUUGUUGCAUUUGAAUUCAGAUGGCGUCGACCUUGGCCUCCUCGUCGAUCUGACUCUGCAUUAAGAAAACUUGUUGGCAUCAAGUGUCCCCCUUCCUCCACCGGUAGCCUUCCAUCGAAUUCACAUCAGAACACUUCAUUCAUUCACCCAGAAAAAAUAACUGACAUUGCCAACAUCUCACAAGAAAGAAGAGAGCAGAGUUGAAGUUGCCAGCCUGUUUACUUGCAGCUACACCUGUGUUCUUCUUCUUCUUCUUCGCAGAAUCAAUCAGGUUUACUUGCAGCCUUACUCACUUUGUGUCUUAGUUAAUCAAAUUCCUCAAUUGAGGAACACCUGGAAUUGUCAUUCCGGUCUUGGGAUCAACAUUAGCAUAUGGACUUAUCAUCCUGGUUUUUGGAUGAUUUAGUUAAUCAAAUUGACAUCAAUUGACCUGUUUUUUUGGAUCAAUUGCAGAUUCUCUUGAUUGGAGUGGAGAGGAGCAGAGACGAGAGGAGCAGCAGAAGUGGUCAGCGCAGCGGCUGACCUCGAGCUCUUGAUUGGAGUGGGGGGAGGCGGCCGGCGAAGGAUCUGUUGCCAGCAUCGAAGGAUCCGAAGUUGUGGCGGAGCAGGCAGCCG